rnacentral:rRNA from 1 species
AAUUAAAUAUUUUAUUAAAGUUAAAAUUUUAUUUUUAUUUAAAAUAAAUAUAUUAUUGAUUUAUUAUAUUUUAAAGAAAAAUUAAUAAUUAUAAUAGUUAAUUAGUAUAUAAUUAGAAUAAUUUUAAAUGGUUAAAGAAAAAUUUAUAUUUGUACCUUGUGUCUCAGGGUUGAUUAAUUAUUAAUUAGGUACAUUAUUAUUCUCGAAUUUUAAAGAGCUAAGUUUAAUUAUUUAUUUUAUUGUUUCAUAAAUAUUUUACAUUAUAACUUAGAAAUGAAACGUUAUUCGUUUUAAAAUAUAUCUAGUUUUUUAAGAAAAAAAUUUAAUUUUAAUUUUAUUAAAUAUUUUUUUUAUUUUUUAAUUUAAUAUUUUUAUAAAAUUAAAUAUUUUUAGGGAUGAGCUUAAAAAUAUAUUAUUAUAAACAUUUUAAAUUUAUUUAAAUUUGUAGGAUUAAAAAUUUUUAUCAUUAAUAGUUUGUUAUUAUUAAUUUAAAUAUUAGUAUUAUUUUUAUAAGUUUUAAUUUGUAUAUUAAGAUUUUAAUUUUAAUUUUAAAAAUUAAGUAAUAAUGAUUAAAUUAGUAAAAGUUUAUGUUUUAAGUUAAAAUUAUUUUAGGUAUUUCUAAGGAAUUCGGCAAAUGUAUUUUUCACCUGUUUAUUAAAAACAUGUCUUAUUGAUUUUAUAAUUUUAAGUCUAAUCUGCCCACUGAGGAAUUAAAUGGCCGCGGUAUUUUGACCGUGCAAAGGUAGCAUAAUCAUUAGUUUUUUAAUUGAAAGCUGGAAUGAAAGAUUGAAUGAGAAAAUAACUGUCUCUUUAAUAAUUUUUGAAUUUUAUAUUUAAGUAAAAAAGCUUAAAUAAUAUUAAAAGACGAGAAGACCCUAUAGAGUUUUAUUUUAUAGUAAAUAGUUUAGAUUUAGUUAUUUAUAAAUAUACUAUUUAUUAAAAAUUGUAUUGGGGUGAUAGAAAAAUUUAAUUAACUUUUUUUAUAUUUAAUUCAAUAAUAUUUGUUUUAUUGAUCCAAAAAUUUUGAUUAUAAGAUUAAAUUACCUUAGGGAUAACAGCGUAAUUUUUCUUGAAAGUUCUUAUUGAAAGAAAAGGUUGCGACCUCGAUGUUGGAUUAAAAUUUAAUUUUGGUGUAGAAGCUAAAAAUUUUAAGUCUGUUCGACUUUUAAAAUUUUACAUGAUCUGAGUUUAAACCGGUGUGAGCCAGGUUGGUUUCUAUCUUUAAUAAAUUAAAAUAUUUUAGUACGAAAGGACCAAAUAUUUAUUUUAAAAAUUUAAAUUUGAAUAAGAUUA